CAUUUCCCAAAAAAAAGACAAAGAGAUAUCUCUUUUAGAGGCUUGGCCUUUAGUAGGAUGAGUUUUUCCGAAUUCAGGGCCAUAUAAACUAGCGAAGAUCAGGGUUAAAAAAAAAAAGAAAAAUUGCGUGCUUAUACUCUUCAAUUUGGGGGGAAAAUGAUAAUGCUUGCAUCUAGUGAAUUCUAGCCAAUUAUAUAUGUGAUAGUGGAAAUCUUAUUAAGAAAAAUUUAAAAAAUUUGAAUUAAAAAUAUGUAUAAAAUUACUGUUUGGUAUGUUUUUUUA
rnacentral:lncRNA from 1 species